UAAUGGUUCACAGCAACAGUAAUACUUCUGGUCAUCUCCUAUGUAGCAAACGCCAUAGCAUUUUUUAUAACAAUCUUUAUCACAGUUUUCCGACGGAAACGGGUCGCCGCAUCCUGAGAAUCAUUUGCACCGGUAUGGGUUAAUUGCAAGAAAAUUCAUCAAGUAACUUGACAUAUCCAGAAAUAGUGACACGGUAAUACUAAUAUCCUCCGAUAAUCACAAAAUGCGCAACGUAAAACUGGAUUUUGCUGAUUAGAAAUAAUAUCAUUGAUGAACAAAAACGAACCAUGACCGGGGUAGGGGUAAUGAGAAUCGGCGCGUAAGGAGAGAACGGUGGCCAUGAGCACUAGUGCUGUGAGGCACAUGGCCCUAGAAAUCUUGGUGAGGAUUGCCAUGAGGUGAUGCUGGAGCUUCUUGCUGAUCUGGAUCUAGAUGGUGUUGCUGCAAUGUUUACUCUUGAGCCUUGAUGGUAUGAGUUUAUAAAGAGGAUCCAUGAUUGAAUGCAUUAAUUGUUUUCCUUAUAUUAUAUGCUAAAAUUAUUAAAUGCAUUAACUUUUGUAGAUCAAUACCGCAUAUAGUAGUAUGUGGAUAACUCUUGCUAACCAAGCUUUGACCAAAACAUGAAUUACUUUCCAUAAUAUCAUGCAUAAAAAUGGGUACCU
rnacentral:lncRNA from 1 species